ensembl:snRNA U6 U6 spliceosomal RNA
CUGCUCAUUUCAGCAGCGCAAACACUAAAUGGGAACAAUGCACAGAAGGUUAGCAUAGCCCUCACACAAUGAUGACACGAAUUCCUGAAGUGUUCUGUAGUUUU